GAUGAACGCUGGCGGCGUGCCUAAUACAUGCAAGUCGAGCGAACGGACGAGAAGCUUGCUUCUCUGAUGUUAGCGGCGGACGGGUGAGUAACACGUGUAUAGCCUACCUAUAAGACUGGUAUAACUUCGGGAAACCGGAGCUAAUACCGGAUAAUAUUUUGAACCGCAUGGGGCAAAAGUGAAAGACGGUCUUGCUGGCACUUAUAGAUGGAUCCGCGCUGCAUUAGCUAGUUGGUAAGGUAACGGCUUAUCAAGGCAACGAUGCAUAGCCGAGCUGAGAGGGUGAUCGGCCACCCUGGAACUGAGACACGGUCCAGACUCCUGCGGGAGGCAGCAGUAGGGAAUCUUCCGCAAUGGGCGAAAGCCUGACGGAGCAACGCCGCGUGAGUGAUGAAGGUCUUCGGAUCGUAAAACUCUGUUAUUAGGGAAGAACAUAUGUGUAAGUAACUGUGCACAUCUUGACGGUACCUAAUCAGAAAGCAACGGCUAACUACGUG
rnacentral:rRNA from 1 species